UGAUUGGUUAACAUGAUUUUUGUUCUAAUGACCACUAAGGAAGCGCGAACAGAACCUUAUUUGCAUGGACUCCACCCCUAUGACGACACUAUUGGACUUUAACCAAUAAAAACGCAGCACUGUGCUAGUCUUCAUUUGCAUGCAGGCUCUAUAAGUAGCGCGUAACCAAGCCGUUUGCCGCAGUCGGGAUUGCUUCUGCUAGUGUGUUGCUUAUCUUCGUGCAAAAAUGCCGGAUCCAGCGAAAUCUGCUCCUGCUCCCAAGAAAGGCUCCAAAAAAGCUGUCACGAAAGUGCAGAAGAAGGACGGUAAGAAGCGCAAGCGCAGCCGCAAGGAGAGCUAUUCCGUUUACGUGUACAAGGUGUUGAAGCAGGUGCACCCGGACACCGGCAUCUCGUCCAAGGCCAUGGGCAUCAUGAACUCGUUCGUCAACGACAUCUUCGAGCGCAUCGCGGGCGAAGCGUCCCGCCUGGCGCACUACAACAAGCGCUCGACCAUCACGUCCCGGGAGAUCCAGACGGCCGUGCGCCUGCUGCUGCCCGGCGAGCUGGCCAAGCACGCCGUGUCCGAGGGCACCAAGGCCGUCACUAAGUACACCAGUUCGAAAUUCUGGUCAGGAUUUAGAACUUUUAAAAUCUACUGUCAGUGCACCUUCAACCAGAGAUCACCAGGAAGACACCCGUGGUUGAACAAGUUGGGUUUAUUGCUCUGCAGUGGGGGGCGCACACACCACGGAAGACUGUGGGGUUCUCAGCAAGAGCCGGUUUGCCUUCUGCUGGUCUGCAUGUCUGUCCCUUCUGGUAAGACCCCUACUGUCCCGAGGAGCCUCAGCCUCCACUGUCCUCCCAGGCACUUAGAGAGUCAGCAAGAGACCAGGUAACUCAGCCUGAGCUGCUAUUUGCUGUUCUGCUUUUUGGUUCUUUUUCUGAGGAAGUGUUUUGGAGAAACAUUUGUGGAAGCAUAUAGAUAAAGACCUACUCUUUGAUUUCUCUCUGCAUGUCAGGACACUUUUAGCGGGGAGCAGUUCUAGGUUUACGUAAAUAACUCAUGGGGGAGUAACUUAGGUUGAAAAGAUACUGGAAGUAAAUGCAGAGUAAGAAGAGAAUGUAGUUCUAUAGCACUGGGAUCUUCUCAGAGGCUUCCUGCUUCUGGCUUUUCGAAGGCUGCCCUUCGGUCCUACACGCUCUCCCGUAUUCCUCCCAUGGGUUCUCUUUUUUUGUUUAAGGAGCCAGAGUUCGCUUCUGUUGCUCACAACUUGGAAGAUUCUUAACUGACCCACAUGAAGAGUGAAACACUAAACAGUAACUAGUUACGAUUUCACUCCCCAAGACCUAUUUAAUCCCAUUCUGACAAGAUAGAUGUUGUACCAAAAUGGAAUUUUUACCUUAAAAAUAUAAUGCAAAAAAUAUAAGUUAUAUAUAAAAUACAUAAUUAGUGUAUAUGUAAUGUUUUAUAUAUCAUAUAUAAACAUAUUUUUAAAAAUUACAAACAAAACUAAGAACAGGUUAAAAAAAAUGAUCCUACCACUCCAGAAAAAAAAAGUGCCUAGUAUUGUAGGCUACGAGAUCUGUUUGAAAGGUUGUUACAUGAGAGUGCGGAGCAAAGGGGUGCUGGAAAGAGGGGGAGGGAGAGCACCGUCCUUCCUGGAAGACUCAGAACAGUUGGAAAGAGCUAUUUAAAGAAUGAGCAGGAAUUCACUAGCUAUCGAUGGCCACCCAUUUGUCUCAUUUUACCACACAAGACUGAUGCUUGGUGCAUAAAAGCUGAAGUUAAAUGAAAGCAACAGACAAAAGAUGAUUUAAAUGCCAGUCAUUGGUACCCCGGCAUGGGCCUGGUUACAGCAAUCAAGUUGGUUCCCCUCAAAGAGGAUCCUGAAACCAAGGCCGGGUGCAAAUACGCAUUUGGUCAUCUCAGGAAGCGCAGCGAUGGGAGUGGAGAAGUGAAACAUGGAAGGGAGGAGAGUCCGUAAAGGAGGCACCGAUGGUGAGCAGGUUGCCACUGUGAGGACUGGGGUUCCAUCCCGCAGGGGGCCCUCUGAGACUGUGUGAGACGCACCCCACUCCCAGAGGAGGUACACAGUGGGGCUAUUGACCGGCUAACUGCCAUCCUCCCUGGUUGAGGCUCCAUUCUGGGUCUUUAAUUUUUUGGCACUUGUGGCUUUCCCUGGAUGCCAGUUCACACAGUAGAGAAGCCUUCGAGAAUCGGGCAUUCUGAAGAACGGCCUGCAGGUGGCAUCUGGAGUAUGUGGAGGGGCAUGGGACUGACCAGGGGUGGCACACAAACCACAAGAAACAGAAGGGCUCUUUUCCAGUUAGAAUGCCAAGAGUCCUGCUCCAAAGGCUGGAGUGAGCAACCAUCUCUGACUUUUUUCAGCUGUGCCCUCCCUGCAAAUUGAAAAGCUGGUGUGCAGAUUCAAAUUAAUCAGUGCAUUUGUCUUUACGUCUAAAGCAAACUGGAUUUAGUGAUUCAAAAAAUGAGACCAUGGGGUAAAGUUUCCCUGUGGGCACCUGUUAAUUUGUCUCUAGAGCAGACCUAGAGAACCUUUCACUCUCCUGCCCAUGGUUUCCUGGUCCCCAGUGGCACUGACCACCCCCACGCCCUGGCCAUACACAGAGGCUUUCACCAAAGGUGGAGGAUGGUUAGCAAAGACAGGAUCUAGGGUCCUUUGGGCCUCUCUCCCCAACAGGAUCCGGUGAUUUCUCUGUGUGUCUCCAGUACUGGAUGGAAUAAAAAUGAAGAGAAGUAAGCUCUUAGACAGAUAAGGUUAAGUGCCAGGGAGAGGGCACUCAACCACCGAGGGAAACUGGAGGGCUGGACACCCACCUGGAGAAAGUAGGAGGUGGUACCAGGCCUUGACCAGACCCAGCACCAAGGCUUGGGAACAUGCAGGUAGGCCACAGUCUGGGGGGGACCAAGAACCUUUUUCUGCACAGCUUAUACACCAAAAAUAAGGGCAGACUGAGGUGCAAAUCGUUCAAUCAAGAAAGUAAUUAUUAAAGUACGUAUGAGAAAACACUGUGGUGAAGACACAAGUGUGGAAGGAUGUGGAGAGGAAGCGCAGAGCGCGGGGAAGGAGGAAGCACUUCUUGCUGCUUUAGCAAUGACUGGCCCCGCUCCGGCUCCUCGCCUCUUCCCGGGUCACAGUGCUGUCUGUGUCCGUUUCUGCCCCCAACCUUCUGUCUCCAGGGAGCCCUUUCCUUAAAAUCCUUGCCACCCAGUGAGGGUACAAUAGAGCUCUCUCCUCUGAGUGUGCCUGUCACUUCCUGCUUCAGUUCCCAGGUCCUUGGGCUAGAAUCAUCAACAGACAGUCCCGCUACAGAGGGUCUUUGGGCCUCUUUCCUUUGGAACUCAUUCCCUGUGGUUCUCAUCUCUCUGUCUCCCCAGUCCCUAAGGCCAAGCAUUACGUGCAAUCAGUAAAGCUCCUACUACACAUGACCAUUUCUUUUAAUACAAAUGUUGGAGUUGUCACACUUCUAAUGAGAUGAUAAUUAGUGAACUUUUUCUGAAGGUGAAGGGGAGAAGAACAUUCUCACCGUCCACAGACUAGGAAAGCAGUGGGCUGAGGCGCCUCCCGUCUACUUCGUGUCCCAGGUUGCUUGAGGGCGUGUCUAGAUGGUGGCUGUCACAGCUGUGCUAUGAAGUAGCAGGAAAAUAUUUUGUCUCCAAACUGGAGCCCAAGUGGGAGAGUAGUGUAUCCUGAAUCAUCUAGGAAGUCAGAAGGGUGACGUGGCCCUCUGGAAGCAGGAGCUGCGGCCUUGGGGCAGCAUGGCCUCUCCCCACUUGCAGUCUCCCCAUGCAGUGCAGUGCUUGGAGAGCCGGGUUUACUUUAUUCAGCAAAGCAGCAGCUACACUCCCUCUUCCUACAGGGAGGGGGACCGGGUCAGACACGCAGGACUCCUAGUGUCUCUGGACACAGAGAGGUUAUGAGAAAACUUCAAAUGAAAAGGCAAAAACAACACAUCCAUUUCUCAUCAUGAGCUACUCGCUGCAUCUCUGUAAGAUGUAUGGACAGAAAAGGGAAGAGCUUUGAAGUCACCAUCCUGAGCACCGGGAGGUGCGAGCGCUCUAGUUCUCACAGUCGCUCAGAGUCACCUGUAGAUUCUGUUUCCUUCUUCUUGGUCUAUAUGAUUCCCUCGUCUUCCUCAUAUUCUGGCCCCCCACCUCUCUCUGUCCACACCGUCCUCUCAUUGUCUCUCUCUGCAUUAAUCUCUUACCUAUGCACGCACUUACCUUUUCACCCUGUCCCCAGAAAGAAAUUACUGCUCAGACUACCCUAAUAGGAUAAUCAGGCUCGACUCGACUUCCAAGUUUCUAAAGAUUUCUUUAGAGUAGGUCUCACUUCAAAUCAUCCCUGAUUACCAAAUGUCCAAGUUUGCUUCCACUGAAGUCACCUCAUUUACUUGCUUUAUUUAAGAGUCAGAUGUCAUGGGAUUCACAGUUCUAGUAUCUUUCAACUUCUGGGUGUCAGUGCCCGGCACUAACACAGAGAGGAAGGUGUGCGGCUGUCACGUCUGUGGAUGCUGAGCCGCCGCCCUCCUCCCGGAGGGUCUCCUGGUGCGUCCUUUCUUGCUGCUGCUCUUCUCAGUCCUGACAUUUCAGCUCUUCUAAAUGACUAUCUUUUUGAAGGUAGGAAGUUAGCUUCUUCUCAUGACCAGAGUCCAAAGAGAUUUCUAAAUUCCACUUUUUCUUUCUUUGCAGUUCCUUAUGUAUCAUCAUACAGAAGGCAGUGUCCACCAAAAAUAUUACUCCUACUGUCAGAUAGAAAAGGACAUGAAACCAGACAGGAGCUGGCAACUGGGGGCCUGUAAAGGAAAAUGGCAGAGAAGAAACGCUGUGUAGAAAUCAGAGGGACCUGACGGAGUUAUGUUUGGAAGAGAAGGCUGGCUGAGACCUGCUGUGUCUGUACCCAGUGGAGGCACCGGGGAUUUCAGGGGCUGGAGGGAGCUCCAGUGGGCCCUGCAGUGGAUGGGCACGGGGCAGGCUCCUCAUAAGAGCUUAACUGCCAGGGUCUUGCCAGUGGACUUGCUUUCUAGUUUCACAGAGAACUGCUAUUUCUAUGCCAUUUAAUGCUUAGAAUGAAUUUAGGUUGAAGAUGAACUUUCUUUCUCCCAAGAGUCUUUGUUCUGCAGCUCAUGGUCCCUCCACCUCAGCCAUGUAUAGACACUUGGGCAGGUAUUUACGUGCAGUCCCCCAACCCCUAUCUCGCCAGCCUACCACGUUGAGCCCCUUGAAGUAAAAGCCGCCCCCGGUGUCUUUAUACCCCAUUUCUGUAACAGUAGAGAGGAGAACUCAGUAUGUUGUUAAGUUAUUGGUGGGGGGGGGAGGGGAGAAAAUGAAGAAAAGGAAAGAAGGAAGGAGGGACAAAGGGAAGGAAAUAAGUGGAAGAAGGAAAGAAAAAGAAAGGGAAGGCAAGUUAAGGAAGUUUACGAGGAGAGUGUGAAGUUUCCAGUCAAGAGUGGAGAGGCCUGUUCAGGCGUUUCCCCGGCUGGGCCAUGAACCCCCCUGGACAGACCUCAGCCCCACAGGAGAAAAGGGAGCACCCACUCGUGUGCCGGGCAGUUCCCAUGUUCCUCACUCACCGACCACCUGAAGCUUCAACUCAGGGCUGCGCUUGACGACACUGCCAUCUUCUGUGGCAGCCUCACACCAGUGCAACCCGGAAUCUCCUCUUUCAGCAGUAAGUAUCUGGUAUUCAGAGGAUGUGUUCCUGCUCCUCAGGGUCCUGCUGCCCACGUGGAAGGAGAAGUAAAGCCGCAGACCAGGCCUCCGCAGGAGCAACUCUGUUUCACAGCUCAGGUUGACCAUAUUCCCCUCGAGGAGGGGGAGUGGCAAGGACGCUCUCAGCACUGGCUCUGUAAAUAGCUCUGAAGGAAAAGUGGGUGCGGAUAGGGUUGCCUGCUUCAGUGUCAAGGUUUCUUUGUAUUUAAACACGAGAUAUACCCCCACCUCCUUUGGGGAAUCUGCCCCUAGAGAAUGCAUCUGUACAACAUAAUUUUCCCCACUUCCAGCAGAGCCGUUCUUGGGGUUUUUUCAUAAACAUACUUACGGUUGCCAGCUUGCCCACACCUACUGGGGAGAGCACCUGUACACAGCCCGUGCUUCCCUGAACAGCCAUGCUAUUUACUAAACGAACUUGCCCUUUUGUAAUGGUUGACCAGGAGUGGACACUGACUUACACACUAGCCAGUUCAGUGACUCAUCACUUGUGUUUCUGCCUCAAAAGAUAAUCUGGGACAAUAAUUUCUUUCCCAUAGGAAUGAACUAUUUUUCAGACAGAAAAAAGUUGCUAACGGUUAUGAGCACUAAGAUAAAAGGCCAUGAAAGAAUCACAACAGCUACACACAAACUGAACAGAAGAAGCUGCUUAGUUAGCAGAGGUUCAGAGAGAAGUAGGACCAGAGGCCACGUGGCCCCUGAGAGCCAGACGGAAAGUAUAACCACAUCCUGCUGUCUUCCUGGCUGGGGAGCUUUUAUGAGAUUCCACUGAGUCAUUUUCUUGUCUUUUGUUUCUGUUUCUGUUUUUUGGGGUGUUUUUUUUUUUUUGGCCAUGGGGGGCAGGUAAUUAGGUUUUGUCUAUUUUUAGAGGAGGUACUGGGGAUUGAACCCAGGACCUUGUGCAUGCUAAGCACGCGCUCUAUUGCUUGAGCUAUACCUUCCCCACCCCGCAUUGAGUCAUUUUCUAAUAACUCUCCUCCUUAUCUUGAGUGAGUCUCUAUUCCCUGCAACUAAAAUAAAAGUGAUGAAAUGGAUCCUCACUAUGGCCUGGCCUUGACAUUAGCUCCUGGAAUUGCUGAUGGGGAAAAAGCAAUGGAUGGGGUGGGUGGGGACCCAGAAGACCUCAGUUCUGAUCCCAGCUAGCCACUGGUCACUGUGUGGCCUUCAAUAAGGCAGUUUACCUCUCUGGAGCUCAGUUUCUUCACCUGCAAAUUGAACUGGUAAUUCAUGAUGUUUUCCUCUGGUCCUUAAAAUGACAGCUCUACGACUAUUCAGAUACGAUACCUUUUACAGUGAUAGAUACUCCUGCUGAUACGAAGCGAUGCCUUCCCAUGCCUGAGCAGUGAUAGAUGCCACUGUGACUCAGGUUGGUUUUCAGAAUGGUGAAUUCAGAAUCUCGAGGAGAAAACUUAAAGGCUUUGCCGUCUUGGUAGAAAAGUACGUUGUACACCAGCUUAUUCUUCCAUCCAUGACACCUCAAGGCCAGAGGUUCCCCCUCGGUGAAGAUUCUGCUAGACACCUGGAGUAGUAGCCAAUCUGGAAAAUGUGGACCCAAAAAUGUGUUUAUACAAUGGCAGAGGAAUAAAGAGGCCAAGCUGGGCCGUUGGGGCUUUUAAAAAUCUUUUUUCUCUGCAACAUUCAAACCUCAGAGCUCUGCUGAAUUUGAGGCCUCUCUCCCAUUCCUCAAAUAUCUUUAGUUUUUCUGGGAAGAAAAGUAAUCUUUACCAGCAACCAUGUACAUGGCCCUUUCUUAUCUUCCCUUUCCAGAUCUCAGAAGUUGGUAGGGACAAAAACAGCUCCCUGCAUGUGAUAGGCAGCAUUCUAAGACGCCUCCAAUGAGCCACAUGCUUGUAUAAUCCCCAUGAGCAUGGCUGGAACCUAUGACUUGCUUCUAGCUAACAGAAUAUGAUGAAGGUUAUGGGUUUCACUCCCAUAAUGAUGUUACACUAUAUGAGACUAAGCUGACUGGACUGAGAGAGACUCCUGCUGCCCUUAAAGAAGUGAGCUGACAUGUUGCGAGAGGGCCUGUGUGAGGGCCACAUGGGAGGGGUCUCCAGGGACUGAGGCUGACCUCCAGCCAGCAAAAAGUCGGGACCUCAGUCCUACAACCAUGAGGAGCUGAAUUCUUCCAGUGACCAUGGGGGCUUGGAAGAGCUGCAGGAAGCAGCACAGCCCAGUCAGCACCCUGACUACCCUCAGCACAGCACCCAGCUAAGCUGAGCCAAGACUUCUGACCCAUGGGAAGAUAAUAAAUGUAUGUUGUUUUAAGCUGCUAAA